UAGAUACCCUGGUAGUCCACGCCGUAAACGAUGAUCACUAGACAUUGGCGAUAUACUGUUCGGUGUCAAAGCGAAAGCAUUAAGUGAUCCACCUGGGGAGUACGGUCGCAAGACUGAAACUCAAAGGAAUUGACGGGGGCCCGCACAAGCGGUGGAGCAUGUGGUUUAAUUCGAUGAUACGCGAGGAACCUUACCUGGGCUUAAAUGCAGAACGACAGGCUGGGAAACCAGUCCUUCUUCGGACGGUCUGCAAGGUGCUGCAUGGUUGUCGUCAGCUCGUGCCGUGAGGUGUCAGGUUAAGUCCUAUAACGAGCGCAACCCCUAUCACUAGUUGCCAGCGAGUAAUGUCGGGGACUCUAGUGAAACUGCCCGUGCAAGCGGUGAGGAAGGUGGGGAUGACGUCAAAUCAUCACGGCCCUUACGUCCAGGGCUACACACGUGCUACAAUGGCGCAUACAAAGGGCAGCUACCUGGUGACAGGAUGCUAAUCUCUAAAGUGCGUCUCAGUUCGGAUUGAAGUCUGCAACUCGACUUCAUGAAGCUGGAAUCGCUAGUAAUCGCGCAUCAGCCAUGGCGCGGUGAAUACGUUCCCGGGCCUUGUACACACCGCCCGUCAAGCCAUGGAAGCUGGGGGUGCCUGAAGUCGGUGACCGCAAGGAGCCGCCUAGGGCAAAACUAGUAACUGGGGCUAAGUCGUAACAAGGUAGCCGUACCGGAAGGUGCGGCUG
rnacentral:rRNA from 1 species